rnacentral:misc_RNA from 1 species
CCGAGUUUACCGCUCAUAACCCUUUGUGAACCUUUAUACCUAGUUGCCUCGGCGGCGCGCCUCCGGGCGUGCCCGCCGGUGUUACAGUCUCUCAGUUUGAAACCGACGUUACUUCUGAGUGUUCUAAGCGAACUGUUA